rnacentral:rRNA from 1 species
GAUGAACGCUGGCGGCGUGCCUAAUACAUGCAAGUCGAGCGAACGGACGAGAAGCUUGCUUCUCUGAUGUUAGCGGCGGACGGGUGAGUAACACGUGGAUAACCUACCUAUAAGACUGGGAUAACUUCGGGAAACCGGAGCUAAUACUGGAUGAUAUUUUGAACCGCAUGGUUCAAAAGUGAAAGACGGUCUUGCUGUCACUUAUAGAUGGAUCCGCGCUGCAUUAGCUAGUUGGUAAGGUAACGGCUUACCAAGGCAACGAUGCAUAGCCGACCUGAGAGGGUGAUCGGCCACACUGGAACUGAGACACGGUCCAGACUCCUACGGGAGGCAGCAGUAGGGAAUCUUCCGCAAUGGGCGAAAGCCCGACGGAGCAACGCCGCGUGAGUGAUGAAGGUCUUCGGAUCGUAAAACUCUGUUAUUAGGGAAGAACAUAUGUGUAAGUAACUGUGCACAUCUUGACGGUACCUAAUCAGAAAGCCACGGCUAACUACGUG